UGCCCGCUGCUUGCGGACCAAAUCUUGGCAGUGCCAUCAAAAGAGCCCGUGAUGAUCUUGUCGCUAAACAACCCGCAACGCGAAGCAAUUACAUUUUUUGUACCCAUUUAAUUACAUUCCAAACACAUUUGGCAUAUUUUUAAAAUAUUUGCAUAAUUCACAUUGGACUUAGACAACUAAACAAUGGGAGUCCACAUACGUAUCCCAGGAAAUAGCACAUGAUCAAUAAAAAUUAAUGCUGCUUUCAAAAAUCAAAUUACUUACCAAAGCCCAUUUUAACCGAACUAGCUGAUUUGGUGCCUGUUGCAAAGACCAAGAAUUUCAUCUGCACAAGUUUAAAAAUUUAUGUAAGCCUUAAUGGAAAGAAAACUAGUUGGGUUUAUUCUUUUUGGAUAAAUAUAUCUUCAACAAAAUUGUAUGUAUUGCAUAGCAAAUACGGCAGUUAAAUGUAAUAUAAAGAUUGAUGUUUUAAAGAUAAUCAAUCAAUCUCUAUAUAUAUAAAACUGUUUUCCUGUCUGACACUAAGUACUGAAGUAACCUUCGACAUUUAAAUUUAGUUGACUUGCAAUUCUUAGUAAAGUUUAAGAAUUUGAACUUGGCAUACGCAAAUAUGCGUUGCUUCGUUUUCAUGUGCA